rnacentral:rRNA from 1 species
CUUUGCAAUGUGCGAAAGCACGACAAGGUUAAUCCGAGUGGUUUCUGCUAAAGGAACCUUUUGUCAGUCAUAGAACCACUGAUGAAUAAGGGGUGGGCAAGUUCUGGUGUCAGCCGCCGCGGUAAAACCAGCACCUCAAGUGGUCAGGAUGAUUAUUGGGCCUAAAGCAUCCGUAGCCUGCUUUGUUAGUUUUCGGUUAAAUCCAUACGCUCAACGUAUGGGCUGCCGGGAAUACUGCAAAGCUAGGGAGUGGGAGAGGUAGACGGUACUCGGUAGGAAGGGGUAAAAUCCUUUGAUCUAUUGAUGACCACCUGUGGCGAAGGCGGUCUACCAGAACACGUCCGACGGUGAGGGAUGAAAGCUGGGGGAGCAAACC